rnacentral:rRNA from 1 species
UGGGGAAUUUUGGACAAUGGGGGAAACCCUGAUCCAGCCAUCCCGCGUGUGCGAUGAAGGCCUUCGGGUUGUAAAGCACUUUUGGCAGGAAAGAAACGUCAUGGGUUAAUACCCCGUGAAACUGACGGUACCUGCAGAAUAAGCACCGGCUAACUACGUGCCAGCAGCCGCGGUAAUACGUAGGGUGCAAGCGUUAAUCGGAAUUACUGGGCGUAAAGCGUGCGCAGGCGGUUCGGAAAGAAAGAUGUGAAAUCCCAGAGCUCAACUUUGGAACUGCAUUUUUAACUGCCGGGCUAGAGUGUGUCAGAGGGAGGUGGAAUUCCGCGUGUAGCAGUGAAAUGCGUAAAUAUGCGGAGGAACACCGAUGGCGAAGGCAGCCUCCUGGGAUAACACUGACGCUCAUGCACGAAAGCGUGGGGAGCAAACAGG